GCGGGGCCGUGGUGUGGGGCGGGACUGCUGCGGAGGCUGGGUCUCGUUGUAGAGGCAGAACCACGGUGUGGGGCGGAGCUUCUAACACGGGGCGGGUGGGAGUCCGAGGACAAGAAGAGUAAGGGGCAGAGUCUUGAGCGAAAGGCGGGACUGCGGCGUACUCAGGAGCCAAGCACUGUCUUGCGGUGGUGAAGGCGGGGCGUGAACUAGGAGUGCCGCUGAAAAGAAACGUAGCCGCGGAGGAUGCCCAAUGGGGCAACGACUACUGCUCGUCCCGAAAGAGCUGCUGCUGCGGCCAGGCCAGGCUCUCGGGAUCAAGUCCACGUCCAUCCUCCUGCUGGCCCACGGUGGUAGGUAUCCCCAAG
rnacentral:lncRNA from 1 species